AUCCUUUUGUAAUUCAUAGAUGUGAAGACUGGAUUUUCACAUGCAUGCAUGUUUAAGAGGUGUCUCCCUCAAAUCUUAUUACAAAUGUUGGCACAUUACCUGUCUGAUA